GUCCAAUCCACGGUCAGCAGAGUACUAAAACGAUACUUCGAGAACCCAACCAUCGACCGGAAGGUGAAGAACGGCAAAAAUGGAUGCUCCGUCAGUGAAAAAGAUCACAAGCGCGUAGUUAUGCACUUUAGACGUGAUCCGAGAAGUUCGGUCCGGGAUGUCGCCAAUAAGCUGAAUUUGUCAAGUUCAUUCGUCCAGCGGACCAAUCAGCGGGAGGGCCUGCGUACAUACAAGGUUCAGAAGGCUCCUAACCGCGACGAAAGGCACAACAUGGUGGGGAAGACGCGAGCCCGGAAGCUGUACACCGAAAUGCUGACGAAGCCGCAUUGCCUGGUAAUGGACGACGAAACCCACGUCAAAGCGGACUUUCGUCAGCUGUCGGGCCUGUUGUUCUUCUCCGCAGAGGACAAAUUCAGCGUUCCGGAGGAGAUUCGUAAGCAGAAACUAUCCAAGUUUGCCAAAAAGGACAUGGUGUGGCAAGCGAUCUGCUCUUGCGGAAAGUGGAGCGCCCCCUUCGUGAUGACCGGCACGGUAAACGGGCAGGUUUACCUUAAGGAGUGCCUACAGAAGCGCUUACUACCACUAUUGAAGCAGCACGAGGGCCCGACCAUCUUCUGGCCGGAUCUCGCUUCGUGCCACUAUUCAAAGGACGUGUUGAAGUGGUACAAAGCCAACGGGGUCACCUUCGUGCCAAAGAAAAUGAACCCGCCCAACGCGCCGGAGCUUCGCCCAAUAGAGAAAUAUUGGGGGAUUAUGAAGCAGGCCCUCCGGAAGAACCCAGAAGUUGUCAAAUCGGAGGCGGACUUCAAGAGAAAAUGGAUUUCUGUUAAAAAAAAAACUACAACCGGACGUUGUACAGAACCUUAUGGACGGGGUAAAGAGGAAGGUGCGAGCAUACGGGCUUGGGCUCGAAGUAUGAAUAAAAAGAAAAUGCCAAAAGUUGUUUAAUAGUUUUUAUUUUACUGUCUAAAAUUUUCAAAAGGAUCGGUCUACUGGGCGAAUUUCUACAGCGUUUUUUCCGUGAUGCAAUUUGAUGUGACACACCCUUUAGUACGUGUAUAAAAAAACAAAAAAAAUAUUUUUUUCAACUCGAUUAUAUACAGUAAAAAGAAAACGGAGACUGUAUAUUCCGCCAUGUAUAUAUAUUUCUUUCAUAUUUUUAUGAAAAUUAUGUUUUAAAUUAAUAAAGUUUUACGCAUAGUAGGUGCGGUGGUCGGACUCGACAAAAUCCGGAUGAAGUUUCAAUUCUUUGUGAAAUUGGAGCUAUUAAAUAAUGCGAAUCUAUAUAUAGUUCUGCAUGACUGAAUACUGAAUAUAAUGAUCGUAGUAAAAUAUUUUUCCUAGGAAGACAAUUGAUUUUCGAAUCGGAGAGGGUCGGAGCAGCGGCGUGUAAUUGCUGUAUACUAAAAUCGUAAAACUUUAUUUUACAAUAUUUUUUUCGCAGAAUGAAUUGAAGAUCAUAUUCGUUUGUAACUUGUACACGGGAAAAAUGUUUAAACACAUAAAUGAUAAAAGAAAUAGCUAUUUCAUAAAAUGCUGUACGAACUACAAGAGUUUAAUUGAAAUUAUGUUCUGCGAUCCCCAUUUGUAACCGGUCUCGAAGCACAACCCGAGCAGCAAGUGCGCGUUCGCAACAUAGCAACAUGUCCUUGACGACGGUUGCCUCCACCCUUGCCCUUGUAUCCAUGAUGGGUACACACUAACAACGCAGAAGUCAAACAGCGGCUUCUGGAACAAAACUGUCGCUGAUGUUUGUUGCUAAAACGGCCAACAGUUCCAUUACUGGUUUCCAAGAAGAAAAAGCUCAGCAGUUCUCCUUGCAAAGCCGACAUAAUGUCCCGGAGCAGAGAAGACGAGGAUUUUGAUGCUUCGAUGAAUAAGGUGGAUGAAGUAAUGAAGAUUUUGAGCAUGAUGACCAGUGGAGAUAAAAACAAAGAGCAAAUGGGACUAGCGUUUGCCGAUCGCUUUCUAGGUACAGACAAACAAGCGGCUGCGGAGAAAAUUGACGUGAAUAAUUUCAUAGUGCGCGUUAACCAGGAGCGAACUGUCGUCAACAAGAAGGAUGAUUCGAUGGACAAACCGAUGGCGGAUAAGUUCGCAUUUAUGGCCGACAUUGAACGAGAUGCAGCACGGCGUGCCUCGGAACGGAAGGAGCGAGAGCAAGUGGCACAGGGUUUGAGGCGAGCCGGCAACCGUGCGUUUCGGCGGGAAGAGUACGAGAAAGCAAUUAGCAUGUACACGAAAGCGAUCGACCAGAUUCGAGAUAGCCCCAUUCUGUACAACAACAGGGCAUUGGCCUACAUCAAGAUUCGAAUGUACAAGCGGGCGAUAAUCGAUUGUGACUUCGUGAUCAGCAAGUUGGAUGAGAAAAAUUUGCGUUCGUGGAUUUAUAGGGCUCAGGGAUACUACCUUCUGGGGAAGGAGAGGGAUUACGAGAAGAGUAUUUCCGAAGCGAAGAAACACAAUCCCAAGGAGUUGGACUACAUAGAUCGAAUCGUGCUGGAAAUCGAAGGAAAAACGAUUAUGGAAACUACUGCAACUGAAGAAUCGGGAGCAGCUGGUGGAACCGGGGAUACUAAGGAACGCACCCUUCCGAUGGAUGAUGUGCAAUCUAUUUCGUCGAACGGUUCAUUGUGAUUCAAAUUAUAAUGCACUGUGUGUAUCGAACUUGUGUGUUGUAAUAAAAAUGAAGAACAACAAGCAUAAACCAACCGUUGUUUAGCAUUGCAUUUUUAUGAGUGAUCGAUCAAAUGAAUUGUGCAGUAACACAGAGCGAAACUCUUCGCCAUGCACCUUGGGUUGAUGACAAAAAGAGCAAGUGUAUUACGGUAUCACCCUACCGCCAAGAAACAAGUGAAUUCAAUAAAAAGAAAACCUGCAAAACAAAACCACAUUCAGACGUGAUGUGGUUUUUGAUGAUGAUGAUGGAGCACGCAAGCAUUGUUUCGUGUGAUUGGAUAGCAUAGGUGAAACAGGUAACAUUUUCUCUACCAUGUGUUUUUAUGAUGUGAAUAUUUUUUUCUUGACAACUUACCUAACAAUAAGAUAACUCCCAAGAAUGAUACGCACGAGUACAGAAAUGGCAGAUGAUAUUUUCCUAAAUCUGAAAGGCGAUGCACAGCACAAGACAGGAAAUUAGUUUCAAUGACCGGAAGACUCAGCUGAUAUAAUGUGGCUAAUACUUACUAAACAGCGCUUGAAAUGUAUUCCGAUCGGGUUCGCGGAGCGCCGAUACGAGGUACGUCAUUACGAAGACGAUGAAAGCGAGCAUCGAGAAUACGGUGAACGUCUCGUAGACCCGUGCCAUCACGCCCUUUUUGUGGCCAAUGAAGCCAGAUGACUCGGUGAAGAGAUAGGAGAACGGUAGCAGCACAAACAGCGCCAGGUUGGAGAACAGAAACACAUGAUUCCAAAGACCUGCAAUAUUUGAAUAAUAAACAGUUAUUAAAAUAUUAUUGUUAUAUUGUGUAAACACGAAACAAUUAUCGUGAGAUAUUAUUUUAUUCUUCGAUAUUCAAUAUAGUUAAUCCCUCUAAAAUUAUAUAAACUAGAAUAAUAAACAGAAGCCUUAAUGAUUU